UACGGGGGGGGCAAGCGUUGUUCGGAAUUACUGGGCGUAAAGGGCUCGUAGGUGGCCAACUAAGUCAGACGUGAAAUCCCUCGGCUUAACCGGGGAACUGCGUCUGAUACUGGAUGGCUUGAGAUUGGGAGAGGGAUGCGGAAUUCCAGGUGUAGUGGUGAAAUGCGUAGAGAUCCGGAGGAACCCCAGAGGCGAAGGCGGCGCUCUGGCUCGCAACUGACGCUCAGACACGACAGCAUGGGGAGCGAACGGG
rnacentral:rRNA from 1 species